CCUACGGGAGGCAGCAGUGAGGAAUAUUGGUCAAUGGCCGGAAGGCUGAACCAGCCAUGCCGCGUGAAGGUCAGUGCCCUAUGGGCGUUAAACUUCUUUUGUGCGGGAGCAAUAAUGGUCACGUGUGGCCAGACGAGAGUACCGUACGAAUAAGCAUCGGCUAACUCCGUGCCAGCAGCCGCGGUAAUACGGGGGAUGCAAGCGUUAUCCGGAUUUAUUGGGUUUAAAGGGUGCGUAGGCUGUGAGGUAAGUCAGCGGUGAAAUGCCCCCGCUCAACGGGGUGAAGUGCCAUUGAUACUGCCUGGCUGGAAUGCGGAUGCCGUGGGAGGAAUGUGUGGUGUAGCGGUGAAAUGCAUAGAUAUCACACAGAACACCGAGUGCGAAGGCAUCUCACGAAUCCGCGAUUGACGCUGAUGCACGAAAGCGUGGGUAUCAAACAGGAUUAGAUACCCCAGUAGUC
rnacentral:rRNA from 1 species